rnacentral:rRNA from 1 species
GAUGAACGCUGGCGGCGUGCCUAAUACAUGCAAGUCGAGCGAACGGACGAGAAGCUUGCUUCUCUGAUGUUAGCGGCGGACGGGUGAGUAACACGUGGAUAACCUACCUAUAAGACUGGGAUAACUUCGGGAAACCGUAGCUAAUACCGGAUAAUAUUUUGAACCGCAUGGUUCAAAAGUGAAAGACGGUCUUGCUGUCACUUAUAGAUGGAUCCGCGCUGCAUUAGCUAGUUGGUAAGGUAACGGCUUACCAAGGCAACGAUGCAUAGCCGACCUGAGAGGGUGAUCGGCCACAUAGGAACUGGGACACGGUCCAGACUCCUAAGGGAGGCAGCAGUAGGGAAUCUUCCGCGAUGGGCGAAAGCCUGACGGAGCAACGCCGCGUGAGUGAUGAAGGUCUUCGGAUCGUAAAACUCUGUUAUUAGGGAAGAACAUAUGUGUAAGUAACUGUGCACAUCUUGACGGUACCUAAUCAGAAAGCCACGGCUAACUACGUG